rnacentral:rRNA from 1 species
UACGUAGGUGGCAAGCGUUGUCCGGAUUUAUUGGGUUAAAGGGUGCGUAGGCGGCCCUGUAAGUCAGUGCUGAAAUAUCCCAGGCUUAACUGGGAGGGUGGCAUUGAUACUGCGGGGCUAGAGUACAGAUGAGGUAGGCGGAAUGACGGUGUAGCGGUGAAUGCUAGAUAUCGUCAAGAACACCUAUAGCGAAGGCAGCUUACUAGGCUGUAACUGACGCUGAGGCACGAAGUGUGGGGAUCAAACAGG